UACGGGGGGGGCCAGCGUUGUUCGGAAUUACUGGGCGUAAAGGGCUCGUAGGCGGCCAACUAAGUCAGACGUGAAAUCCCUCGGCUUAACCGGGGAACUGCGUCUGAUACUGGAUGGCUUGAGUUUGGGAGAGGGAUGCGGAAUUCCAGGUGUAGCGGUGAAAUGCGUAGAUAUCUGGAGGAACACCGGUGGCGAAGGCGGCGUUCUGGACUGCAUCUGACACUGAAAGACGAAAGCCAGGGGAGCAAACGGG
rnacentral:rRNA from 1 species